GGCGGCAGGCCUAACACAUGCACGUCGAGCGAGACCUUCGGGUCUAGCGGCGGACGGGUUAGUAACGCGUGGGAACGUACCCUUUUCUACGGAAUAGCCUUUGGAAACGAAGAGUAAUACCGUAUACGCCCUUCGGGGGAAAGAUUUAUCGGAGAAGGAUCGGCCCGCGUUAGAUUAGAUAGUUGGUGGGGUAAUGGCCUACCAAGUCUACGAUCUAUAGCUGGUUUUAGAGGAUGAUCAGCAACACUGGGACUGAGACACGGCCCAGACUCCUACGGGAGGCAGCAUUGGGGAAUCUUAGACAAUGGGCGCAAGCCUGAUCUAGCCAUGCCGCGUGAGUGAAGAAGGCCUUAGGGUCGUAAAGCUCUUUCGCCAGGGAUGAUAAUGACAGUACCUGGUAAAGAAACCCCGGCUAACUCCGUGCCAGCAGCCGCGGUAAUACGGAGGGGGUUAAGCGUUGUUCGGAAUUACUGGGCGUAAAGCGCACUUAAGGCGGAUUAGAAAGUUAGAGGUGAAAUCCCAGGGCUCAACCCUUGGAACUGCCUUUAAAACUCCUAG
rnacentral:rRNA from 1 species